UUUCAGUGCAGGCAAUUUAUUAUUCCGUCUUGAAAAGCUAGUUUAUUUACUGCAAUCAAAAUGACUGAAAACAGCAGCUUUCAUACACAGCUUCUACGCGGGCAGAGUUCACUUUGCCUUCAUUUCCAGAUCUAUUUCAAGUGACUGGGUGCAGGGCAUGACCAACGUGGCCCAAAAGAAGGUAAAACGUAAUGAAAAGCAGGGACGUAAAGUCUUUCCACACAAUGAAUCUUUGUUUCAGUCUGUCCCCAAAGGCCAUUUUCUCCUACAUAUCUGUCCAUGAGCGACCUGGGAAAUGACCCAAAUCUGAUCACUGUGAUUUGUCUCAGGAAAUCGACCCCCACCUUAUUCUUCGACUUCAUAGUGACACUCCUGUGUGCAAACACGUUUUCAGAGUAGUGAUAAAUCCACUCGACACCCUUCAACUCUGGCCCUCCCCCAUCAGCUACACAUGGCGGUAGUAAAUUCACGUUUCUAUUGAGCAGGAAAGGAAGAAAGGAGUGUGGCUGAAGGUUGGAACUGGGGUUCAUCUUUCACUCCAUUCCCCUCCGCCCCCAAAAAAGGGGUCUGGACACAGUGACCCCAAACUAGUGAAGGAGAGGGGGAUGUGAUCAUGUCUGACAGCGAGAAAAAACGGACAAGCUGGAUUUCGUGAAACAUCUUUACUGUCAUCGUAGCUGUGGCAUGUCUCUCCAACAUAUGGGAAUCAUUAGAUUCCAGAAGAAUGCAACAGAGAGCAAAGAAUCAGCCUGGCAAUGGUUAACAGUGUCUCAGUGGAGAUUCCUGCUUCAAGUUCCUAGUUUUACAUUUAUUUAGGACCCAAGAUGCUAUCGGCUAUUUAAUAACAAACAUGCUUGAGUCUAAAUGCUAUGCAGGUAUACACUAUACACUUCUAAGCGUGAAGUCUCUUCCUGUUAAAACUCCCCCACAGUCACCUGUGUUUCCUAAUAUGAGUUCAUUACGACAGCCACUGGAUUUAUGUGCACAGACAUUGAAAUGGAGGAUGGAUGCAGAGCAUAACAGAACUUCCCCUUUAUCCGUUUUGGUUCCAACUGUAAUAAAAUUUAGCCAAGACGAUGUAGUCAAAGUUCUUCCCAUCUGCAGUAUUUUAUAUUGGCAGCAUGGGUCUGCUCUGGGACAUUCCUGACUCAAUGACAACAGAUAUGACACUGAUAGAGGAGAAACUGAGGUGGAGGUGGGUGGUAAAGCAGCUUGCAGAUGUGCAGAUUAUUACAAUGGCAAAGUGAUCCUUGACCUUAUGCAACUCAGUUCUUAUGUGGAUAAGAACUGAGUUUAACUGAGCUGCUGUAAUUAUAGUUGCCUAAAAUAACAUUUUUCAGGAGUUGCCAUCCACGUGCAUUGAUAAAAUUCAUUCAUGUAGUCCAUCCAUCCAUUUACUUUGGCUUAUCCAGGUUGCAGCAGCCUAAGCAGACACCUCCCUCACAUUCUGAUAGUCUACACUCUUUGAGAUCUUUGAGUUUGGCCACUUACAAUUGGACACAGUUGCUUGACGGCCCAGUGCUAUAUUGCAAUUCUUUAUUCCUUUCUAAAUAAGUACUCUGGGCCGGCCUUAUAUACUGGGAGUCAUGAGAGGGAAGUUAGAAAGCAAUCAACCUUAGGUAAGAUGUAAGGUCAGAGAAUUAGGUCAUUAUCAGCCAACGUGUGUGAAUGUGGUUAAAAAAAGGACAGCUGAAAGAGUGGAAUAUUUGUCUGAUUUGGCCUGUUCUGUACUGUUUGUGCUGGUGAGUGCAGUGCUGCUUAUGGGGCGUCGCUGUGACUACACCACUGAGCAUAACAUGCUCUGUAAUACACUUACUAAGAUCAAGUGAUGAGCCCUAACCUAUAAUCUCUUCCUUCCAAAAACUCUUCAUCUGUCAUUCACUUUCAUCUCUUCGCAAAUGUAAAGCAUGUUUCCCUCCAGCUCUUAAAGGAGCAGGCUAUUCUACUGCCAUCAACUUCAUGUUACAGUGAAAACUCCACAAACAGCAUCACAAUUAGAUCUGGUGUAAGUUCCAUUUCAAAACAAUUUACUGGCAAUUAAUGACACAUGCCAUAACCAUUGACCCAGCGACAUUAUACAAAAGAGAAGAUCUUAACCUCCUGAAGUCCUCAUCGCCAACAACCCUAACGUUAACGCUCAUCCCAGACAAAAAAUUUUUAUGAAAUUGAUUUCCCAAGUCUUGGUAAUCAAGAACAAAAAGAAAUAAUCAUUUUCACAAACACUGUCCUUCUCCAAAAUACAGGUUUAGGCUGAGCACCAGUGAUGGCUUAGACCUCAGAGGGUUAAAACUAUAUGCCGUCAACCUUUCUUUAAAUGUAAAUACAACAUACAUAUGCUCGA